rnacentral:rRNA from 1 species
UACGUAGGCAGCAAGCGUUGUUCGGAGUUACUGGGCGUAAAGGGUGCGUAGGCGGUUGUUUAAGUUUGGUGUGAAAUCUCCCGGCUCAACUGGGAGGGUGCGCCGAAUACUGAAUGACUAGAGUGCGGGAGAGGAUAGUGGAAUUCCUGGUGAUAGCGGUGAAAUGCGUAGAUAUCAGGAGGAACACCGGUGGUGGUAGACGGCUAUCUGGACCGAUAAC